rnacentral:rRNA from 1 species
AGUGGCGACCGGGUGAGUAACACGUGCUAACCAACCCUCGAGUGUGGAAUAACAUCGGGAAACCGAUGCUAAUACCGCAUAACAUCGCAAGAUCAAAGGAGCAAUCCGCUUGAGGAGGGGGUCGCGGCUGACUAGCUAGUUGGCGGGGUAACGGCCCACCAAGGCGAAGAUCGGUAGCCGGCCUGAGAGGGCGCACGGCCACACUGGAACUGAAACACGGUCCAGACUCCUACGGGAGGCAGCAGUGGGGAAUUUUGCGCAAUGGGGGAAACCCUGACGCAGCAACGCCGCGUGGAGGAUGAAGCCCCUUGGGGCGUAAACUCCUUUCGACCAAGACGAUAAUGACGGUACUGGUGGAAGAAGCACCGGCUAACUCUGUGCCAGCAGCCGCGGUAAUACAGAGGGUGCAAGCGUUGUUCGGAAUUAUUGGGCGUAAAGGGCGCGUAGGCGGCGCGACAAGUCACCUGUGAAAUCCCCGGGCUUAACUCGGGGCCUGCAGGCGA